rnacentral:lncRNA from 1 species
GGCAUAGACAUAUAGGAAUAAAUAAUUAUAGAAAUACAUGUAUGUGUGUAUUUAUACAAAUAAAUUAAGGGGAAAGAUGUGCAACUACUUAAGUUAGGAGAUUUUUCUAUAGUUAAGCUUAAUUGAGAGGUUAAAAGAGCAAUUUUUCCUCUGAAAAAUUACCCAACCAACUCCUCCCCACUGAUUCUUCUUCCUCCACUCGUAUGAUAAUCCAAUACCACCAUUUUCUUCCAUUUUUGCUGCUCAUAUUACCAGCUAGCAGACCAUCUUACCUCCCCCUCCCUUUUUUCUCACCCGUGAUCCUUGCCCUUCCCUUUUCUCGUUGGAAAACUGUUGAAGCAAGAGGGAAGGAAGACAUGACCAGCUGCCCCUAUUGUUUUAGCCUCUUGCCGAUAUUUUCUGGCCAAACUGACGCUGGAUUUGGACUCUCCACCCCUCAAAACCUCAAGAUCAGCCCUCCUUCGCCAGUUAUACUUGCCGAAAUCCAUAGUUUCAUCUCACCGCAGCAGAACUUUCCUUACCGCAAUUUGGUGAUUUUCGAGAAGUUUUAGGCUGUAAUUUUGGUAUUUCCGGACUCCAUGCUUCACAAGCUAUGCGUGGAUACUUUCGGAUUCAAUUUCUGAUAUCGUUAGAGAUACCGAGCUUAGUCCGGUGUUUUCUGGAAGUGUAUAUUUUCUGGAUCAAAAAAAUUUAUUUAAUAUUAUUGGUG